rnacentral:tRNA from 3 species
GGGGGGAUAGCUCAUUUGGCUAGAGCGCCUGCCUUGCACGCAGGAGGCGGUGGGUUCGAAUCCCAUUCUCUCCACCA